UGGGGAAUCUUGCACAAUGGGGGCAACCCUGAUGCAGCGACGCCGCGUGAGCGAUGAAGCCCUUCGGGGCGUAAAGCUCUUUCGACCGGAACGAUAAUGACGGUACCGGGAGAAGAAGCUGCGGCUAACUACGUGCCAGCAGCCGCGGUAAUACGUAGGCAGCAAGCGUUGUUCGGAGUUACUGGGCGUAAAGAGUGCGUAGGCGGUUUUCUAAGUUCGGUGUGAAAUCUCCCGGCUUAACUGGGAGGGUGCGCCGAAGACUGGGAAGCUGGAGUGUGGGAAAGGCAGGCGGAAUUCCUGGUGUAGCGGUGAAAUGCGUAGAUGUCAGGAGGAACACCGGCGGUGUAGACGGCUUGCUAGACCAUAACUGACGCUGAGGCACGAAAGCGUGGGUAGCAAACA
rnacentral:rRNA from 1 species